rnacentral:lncRNA from 1 species
GAGAACAGAGAGGCAAAAACAGAAACAGGGGAGGCAGUAGAAUUGAGCUGGGAUGAUUACAAGUAAAUGGACUUCACACAAUGUGUAAGUUUUUCAAUUCCUACUAAAUAUAUUCAAAUAAUUGAAUAAAAUAAUUGUUGUAAAUUGCAAAUUCCCAGGCUCCACUAUUAAUAUGACAACCGACAACCAUCUUGUUGUCAACGUGAGAAACAAAUUAGAUGAAAACUUUCUAAUCUACUAGUAUAUAUGAUUUUAUUUUAUUUUUAUUUCAAUUUUCUUUUAUAUGGUUAUAUAGAUAUUGGAUUUGGUUUUGAGAUGAAUUGGGUCUGGAAUAAAAGUAGAUGUGGAGUUCGUGGCAAGAUGGGGUACUUGGAACAAAUUCCCCCAUCCAUCCAAAAUGCAAUAUAUAGUAACAUAUAGUAACAUGUAGUAACAUAUGCAUGUGAUUAUGUAUUUUCAACCUAUAUUUUGUUGGUAAUUAUGAGUUGAUUUAUAAUGUAAAUAUUUAAAAUAAACUUGAUUUUUUUGUCACAGGUCUUGAUGUUUGAACUACUUCUAUGCACUACGUUUUUGCCGAGAGGAUAUGGAGUUCAUCAAUUCAAAACAAUUAUUUUGCCACCGAUAUAUCGGAAUUGUCGUGUUGAAAAGUGGGAUUUGAAGCUAUAAAUACAAACUAAAUAUAUGACUAUACUCGUAUAGUCACAUGUGGUCAUAUAUAUGUAGUCAGAUGUGGUCAUAUACAUGUAGUUAUAUAUAGUCAGAUGUGGUCAUAUACGUGUAGUCAUAUAUAGUCAGAUGCGGUCAUAUACAUAUAGUCAUAUAUAGUCACAUAGUCAUAUACAUAUAGUCAUGGUCAUAUACAUAUAGUCAGUGGCGGAGCCACCCUUUGGCAAGGGUGGGCUCCAGCCCACUCUCAUUAUUUUAAAAUUUAUACUAUAUAUUAUAUCUAUAUAUAAUUAGCCCCCCAAAUAGUUUAAUUUAGCCCACCCAAGUAAUUUAGUUUAGCUUAUCUAUCAAAAAAUUUAUGUUAUAUUAGUUGAAGUUUAUAAUUUGUGGUUAUUUUAUGCUAUUUUAUGUUAAUGAAUAUAAAAAAAAAAAUCGGGGGCGCUGCCCCGAACCCCCUUCAAUGUUAAGCCCACCCACCCAAGUAAUUUAGUAUAGCUUAUAUUAGUUUAAGUUUAUAAAUUUGUAGUUAUUUUGUGCUAUAUUUUUUAUGUAAAUGAAUCCGAAAGAGAAAAUCGGGGGCGCUGCCCCCGAACCCCCGUUAACGUUAAGCCCACCCUGUCUCGAAUUCCUAGCUCCGCCACUGCAUAUAGUCAUAUAUAGUCACUUGUAGUAACAUGUAGUAAUAUAUAGUUAUAUAUAAGCUACGUGUUUUUCUGGUGUAUAAUGAUGUUGAUAAUUUGUUUUUCCAUUUUUUGUUGGGUACUAAUUGAUUUAUGAUAUCAAGAUUCAAAUUGUGAUUUUUGUUGGUGUACUAUAAAUGUUGUUGGCG